CUCACUGGGACCAUGCUUAUAAAAGAAAGAUUUCUUCAAUAAAUUCAAAUUCCACAUAUUAGUUUGAGCCACCUGCCAACUACACAUGAGAGGUGAUGUUAAGACUUAAGAAUAUAAAAUCAUAAAUCAUGUCUCAUUUAAUGACUUAAGCUUUUAUAGGCAAUGACAUUGAUAAAAAAUUUAAGAUUGUCUUUGGUGACCAAAUUCUUUAUUAACUAGAUUAUCUUUGAUUAAUUUACAAAAUUUUAAAUUCUUACUGUAAAACAAUUUGAUAAAUUUUCUUCAUUGGCCAAAUUUCUUAGUCUACCAACUUAAUUCUUGUUUGGAACUUUGAAAGUUCAGCCUUGCUUGAUAUCUUAUACCAAACAGGCAUAAGGUAGUUGGGCAAAUAUUGAUGGAACCUUUGUUUUGGACCCCUAUUUGUGGUUCUAUGUAUUGGUUUAGUGUUUCAGGACGUUGGUGUGGAUUCUAGUGUGGAGUUUGUUGUUGCUCAUAAAUGAUUGGGACAUUCCGGCUUCUUGUUGUUGUUAUUGUUGUAAACUUCUGUCUACCCAACAAAUUGGUUAUUGCAUGUAUGAAUGAGAACUAGAGAUAGAGACAUUGUUUAGGCCUAGUAUGACUGUUAUUGUUACUCAGUUCAUUGUCAUCUUGAUGGUACAUGAUGUUCAGGAUUUUUGUUUUGGAUGUGCAUUUAUUAAAAUUGGCAUACAAAUUCCUGUAGGUUGAAUAAAAAAUGAUAAGAUAACAGCCUAUAAGAUUUUGGUUGAUGAGAAUUUUGCAAGGGCAUACGGGGUUGCUUGUAGAUCUUUUAUUCUUUAGUCAAGGUUCUAAGAUGAUAGAUUGUGGUGGAUGAGACUAGGAUGAGAUUGUCAUGCAUAAGGCCAUCAACAGGACUGAGGAAAUAAUGUAAACAUACUGCACUGUGGUACAAUGUUGAAUCGGUAUUGUAUAGUGUUUUGGUGUCGGUUCUCUUUGUAUGGUUGCUACUUUUUAUAGCACUAUGAGUAAUACUUGGACUGAGGAAAUAAUGUAAACAUACGGCACUGUGGUACAAUGUUGAAUCGGUAUGGUAUAGUGUUUUCGUGUCAGUUCUCUUUGGUAUGGUUGCUACUUUUCAUAGCACUAUGAGUAAGACUGGUAUGUAAUCAGUGAGAGGUUCUGUGAGGACCGGUUGUUGACUACAUGCAUACAGCAAAUGAAUUUAAAUUUUCAUAUCCUAUAGUAGUUUGAAGCAUGGAAUGCAGAAUGCCCAAACCAGUCCAUACCGGCAGAUAUUUACUGGUCCUGGAAUGAACCAGUAUGUGGCGGCCUCUUCUCGGGCAGUCAUGUCUGGUUUAUUAGGUCCUGGGUUACUUCUUUCGUAGCUGCUUGAGAAUUGCAGCUGUGCGGGAGUGACAGCAGUACUGCUGCAUGCUCAGGAUUGCCUGUGCUGCACACUGCCGCCCACACAUCUCCGCCUAUGCGUUUGAAUGCUGCCACUCAUCAUCCGCUACCAGAUGGUACUUCUCGUCCUCCUCCCAUCCAUCUUCACCUGUCUCCUUUUCCUCCUCCCUCCUGCAACCAUAAUAGUACCAUGGUCUAUGCUGGUAUUGAUAUGCCUGUCCAGUUCCCGAAAUUGAGAACCUUGCUUUGAAGUUUGAACUUUAAUUCUUACUCCUUUUCCUUAUCAAUUUAGUGCUUAAACAUUUAGAGCUCUGUUUGUGGUACUGGAAUGCUUGAUAAGGUGGAAGGAUGGGCAUUUUUACAUGAUCAUAUGGCAACAAAUAGCAAGGAAGUGAAACUUAACUAUUCAUAGAAGUUAGGUGUCAUGAACAUCUUCAGCUUUUCAGGGUGAAACCUUUCUUUUGACAAUGUCUUUGAGCCUUUUGCUUGAGCUGCUUUUACCACAUUAUGUUCGGUAUGUGUGUGUGUGUGUGUGUUCACCUGUGCAAGUUCUUGUUCGCCCAUGUGGUCUUAACAUGUCAGGAUGGCUAGAACUUGGCCUGGAAUUUUGAGCUACUUAAACCAGAUAUGUGCAAGAAUUUCUCAUAGUUGGAUGUCUGGUGCUGAAUCUUCUAAACAUUUUUAAUAACAAGGUCAUGCACAUAACAAGUUGCAAAGCUUACAUUUGUUGUAAUGUUUGCUUUCUCUCUCACUAUGCCUUGUUCUUAUUUCCUGCCAUGUAGAUAAUUUAGAUGUCUAAUGUAUAAAUCCAUCCUGCUUUUGGCACUGCAGUAAAGUAGUUCUUGAUAACAAUAUUCAAGAAAAGCAGACUUCAGCAGCUGAAAAAGUCCUACAGCUUCUCUGUCCUCCCAGCGAAGAUACGCACCGUCUGUUGCUAGAAAAAUUGGGUUACACUGGAGCUGUUUGCUACCCUAGCAUGAUUGCAGCAUCAAGCAUUCUCUUUGCAGAAAAGCAACGAUCGUGAUAGAGAUUGUGAUCAAGUAUUGUUUCAAGAAAGGUUGAAAAUGAGAUAAAAUGGUUCUCAUUAAGGAUGAAGGUACAACCAAUAUAAAAUAAUACAAAACGACAAACACAACAUUUUGCAGAACUUUUUCUCAAACAGAAUAUUGUGUACAAAUCAUAUACAAUAUAGUAUAUGGUUCUCGGAAGAAAA